rnacentral:rRNA from 1 species
CCUACGGGAGGCAGCAGCAAGGAAUUUUCGUCAAUGGGCGCAAGCCUGAACGAGCAACGCCGCGUGGAGGAUGACGGCCUUCGGGUUGUAAACUCCUUUUGGGGACGAUACGGUACCCCGGGAAUAAGGCUCGGCUAACUCUGUGCCAGCAGCCGCGGUAAUACAGAGGAGCCAAGCGUUGUCCGGAUUGACUGGGCGUAAAGCGCACGCAGGCGGUCGCGCGCGUGGGGUGUGAAAUCUGGCCGCUUAACGGCCAGGCGCCAUCCCAUACGGCGUGACUGGAGUGAUGCAGAGGUCGGUGGAAUUGCCGGUGUAGUGGUGAAAUGCGUAGAGAUCGGCAGGAACACCCAGGGGGAAACCAGCCGACUGGGCUCACUGACGCUGAGGUGCGAGAGCGUGGGGAGCGAACCGGAUUAGAUACCCUUGUAGUC